CUGACGGAGCAAGACCGCGUGAGGGAGGAAGGCCCUUGGGUUGUAAACCUCUUUUCUCAGGGAAGAAAACUGACGGUACCUGAGGAAUCAGCCUCGGCUAACUCCGUGCCAGCAGCCGCGGUAAUACGGAGGAGGCAAGCGUUAUCCGGAAUUAUUGGGCGUAAAGCGUCCGCAGGUGGCACUUCAAGUCUGCUGUCAAAGGUCGGGGCUUAACUCCGGAAAGGCAGUGGAAACUGAAGCGCUAGAGUGCGGUAGGGGUAGAGGGAAUUCCCGGUGUAACGGUGAAAUGCGUAAAGAUCGGGAAGAACAUCGGUGGCGAAAGCGCUCUACUGGGCCGCAACUGACACUCAGGGACGAAAGCUAGGGGAGCGAAUGGGAUUAAA
rnacentral:rRNA from 1 species